GCUCAGAUUGAACGCUGGCGGCAUGCUUUACACAUGCAAGUCGAACGGCAGCAUAGGAGCUUGCUCCUGAUGGCGAGUGGCGAACGGGUGAGUAAUAUAUCGGAACGUGCCCUAGAGUGGGGGAUAACUAGUCGAAAGACUAGCUAAUACCGCAUACGAUCUACGGAUGAAAGUGGGGGAUCGCAAGACCUCAUGCUCCUGGAGCGGCCGAUAUCUGAUUAGCAAGUUGGUGGGGUAAAAGCCUACCAAGGCAACGAUCAGUAGCUGGUCUGAGAGGACGACCAGCCACACUGGGACUGAGACACGGCCCAGACUCCUACGGGAGGCAGCAGU
rnacentral:rRNA from 1 species